GCGGAUGUAGUGCACGGUGCACCACUGCCAUGUAUAUGAGGAAACUUGUCUCUAAGUGUGAAGCAGUCAGGCGGGGUUCGACUCCCCGUGUCCGCA